AAUAAUUAAGCAUUUACUAUGCACUUACACAUAGAAAGCAAUAUUUGUUGGUUGAUUUAUUUAUAGUUUCAUGCUCUUUCCAUUUUGCAUUUUGCACAGCAUCAUGACCAUGUAAACUUCAAUAUAACUUGGUAAAAAUAUGGUUCCAUCAACUUUUCUGUGUUGAUAAUGAAGAUUGUUUCUUUUCAGACUAGGCACUACCAUAGAGCUGUUUCUUUAAAAAACAGAAUAGUUUGAUGAGUUUGAUGUCCAUUAUACAUAUUCAUUACCUCUGUGGAGGAAGAGAAAAUGCCGAUGUCAAUCAUAAAUGAAAUAUUUAAGAUGUUUUCUGCAGCCAACCUAAAUAGACACUGGAGUGGUUCACCCUUUCCUUCUCCAGUUCAUUUUACAGAUGAGAAAACUGAGGCAAAUAAGGGACUACCACUCCCAGGAUUAUGUCCCCAAAAAAGUAAGAAAGGAGAUGAAAAGAAAAAGAAGGAAAAGAAAAGAAGAAGAAGAAAAGAAAAGAACUCUUGGACUAAAAUAUUUUCAGCCAACUAUGUUUUUAGUGGCAAAGACCUUGAAAUUAAGGGGUUGCCCAUCAAUUGUGGAAUGUUGAACAAAUUAUGGUUUACAAGUUUUCCUCCUUUUUUCAAUGGGCAUUUACCAUCUGUUAACCCAUAAAAGGGUUUAUGAAUAUAUCUUCCUAGCUAGUACGGAGUUUUUAAAGUUUUUCAGUUUGUAAUGAUGCCUAAUAGUUUCUAUUAUAAUGGGGAAAGGGUUCAUGAGGACCCAGACAGUAUUAGCUUGUGUGGAGAUCUCAGCUUAAUACACAUCCCCUUCCACCAAAUGCAAGAUCAUUAAAGAGAAUCUUUCUGUAAUUUCUAAUGGUGAUGGCCUAAAUCUAAAUCAGCAUCAAAACCCACUCCAUUUCUUCUUCUUUUACUUUUUUAAAACCCUUACCCUCUGUCUUAAUAAAAUUUCUAAGACAGGAGAGCA
rnacentral:lncRNA from 1 species